AACGAACGCUGGCGGCAGGCUUAACACAUGCAAGUCGAGCGCCCCGCAAGGGGAGCGGCAGACGGGUGAGUAACGCGUGGGAAUCUACCCAUCUUUACGGAAUAACGCAUGGAAACGUGUGCUAAUACCGAAUACGUCCUUCGGGAGAAAGAUUUAUCGGAGAUGGAUGAGCCCGCGUUGGAUUAGCUAGUUGGUGGGGUAAAGGCCUACCAAGGCGACGAUCCAUAGCUGGUCUGAGAGGAUGAUCAGCCACACUGGGACUGAGACACGGCCCAGACUCCUACGGGAGGCAGCAGUGGGGAAUAUUGGACAAUGGGCGCAAGCCUGAUCCAGCCAUGCCGCGUGAGUGAUGAAGGCCCUAGGGUUGUAAAGCUCUUUCACCGGUGAAGAUAAUGACGGUAACCGGAGAAGAAGCCCCGGCUAACUUCGUGCCAGCCGCCGCCGUAAUAC
rnacentral:rRNA from 1 species